AGAGUUUGAUUCUGGCUCAGGACGAACGCUGGCGGCGCGCCUAACACAUGCAAGUCGAACGAGAGAUGAGGAGCUUGCUCUUCAAAUCGAGUGGCGAACGGGUGAGUAACGCGUGAGGAACCUGCCUCAAAGAGGGGGACAACAGUUGGAAACGACUGCUAAUACCGCAUAAGCCCACGGCCCGGCAUCGAGCAGAGGGAAAAGGAGCAAUCCGCUUUGAGAUGGCCUCGCGUCCGAUUAGCUAGUUGGUGAGGUAACGGCCCACCAAGGCGACGAUCGGUAGCCGGACUGAGAGGUUGAACGGCCACAUUGGGACUGAGACACGGCCCAGACUCCUACGGGAGGCAGCAGUGGGGAAUAUUGCACAAUGGGGGAAACCCUGAUGCAGCGACGCCGCGUGGAGGAAGAAGGUCUUCGGAUUGUAAACUCCUGUUGUUGAGGAAGAUAAUGACGGUACUCAACAAGGAAGUGACGGCUAACUACGUGCCAGCAGCCGCGGUAAAACGUAGGUCACAAGCGUUGUCCGGAAUUACUGGGUGUAAAGGGAGCGCAGGCGGGAGAACAAGUUGGAAGUGAAAUCCAUGGGCUCAACCCAUGAACUGCUUUCAAAACUGUUUUUCUUGAGUAGUGCAGAGGUAGGCGGAAUUCCCGGUGUAGCGGUGGAAUGCGUAGAUAUCGGGAGGAACACCAGUGGCGAAGGCGGCCUACUGGGCACCAACUGACGCUGAGGCUCGAAAGUGUGGGUAGCAAACAGGAUUAGAUACCCUGGUAGUCCACACCGUAAACGAUGAUAAAUGGGUGUUGGAGGAUUGACCCCUUCAGUGCCGCAGUUACCACAAUAAGUAAUCCACCUGGGGAGUACGACCGCAAGGUUGAAACUCAAAAGGAAUUGACGGGGGCCCGCACAAGCAGUGGAGUAUGUGGUUUAAUUCGACGCAACGCGAAGAACCUUACCAAGUCUUGACAUCCUGCGACGCACAUAGAAAUAUGUGUUUCCUUCGGGACGCAGAGACAGGUGGUGCAUGGUUGUCGUCAGCUCGUGCCGUGAGAUGUUGGGUUAAGUCCCGCAACGAGCGCAACCCUUAUGGUCAGUUACUACGCAAGAGGACUCUGGCCAGACUGCCGUUGACAAAACGGAGGAAGGUGGGGAGGACGUCAAAUCAUCAUGCCCUUUAUGACUUGGGCUACACACGUACUACAAUGGCGUUAAACAAAGAGAAGCAAGACCGCGAGGUGGAGCAAAACUCAGAAACAACGUCCCAGUUCGGACUGCAGGCUGCAACUCGCCUGCACGAAGUCGGAAUUGCUAGUAAUCGUGGAUCAGCAUGCCACGGUGAAUAAAAGGCCGGGCCUUGCACU
rnacentral:rRNA from 1 species